rnacentral:rRNA from 1 species
CGGCGAGUGAAGCGGCAAAAGCUCAAAUUUGAAAUCUGGCACCUUCGGUGUCCGAGUUGUAAUUUGAAGAAGGUAACUUUGGAGUUGGCUCUUGUCUAUGUUCCUUGGAACAGGACGUCACAGAGGGUGAGAAUCCCGUGCGAUGAGAUGCCCAAUUCUAUGUAAAGUGCUUUCGAAGAGUCGAGUUGUUUGGGAAUGCAGCUCUAAGUGGGUGGUAAAUUCCAUCUAAAGCUAAAUAUUGGCGAGAGACCGAUAGCGAACAAGUACAGUGAUGGAAAGAUGAAAAGAACUUUGAAAAGAGAGUGAAAAAGUACGUGAAAUUGUUGAAAGGGAAGGGCUUGAGAUCAGACUUGGUAUUUUGCGAUCCUUUCCUUCUUGGUUGGGUUCCUCGCAGCUUACUGGGCCAGCAUCGGUUUGGAUGGUAGGAUAAUGACUAAGGAAUGUGGCUCUACUUCGGUGGAGUGUUAUAGCCUUGGUUGAUACUGCCUGUCUAGACCGA